rfam:Hydnomerulius pinastri MD-312 unplaced genomic scaffold scaffold_19, whole genome shotgun sequence.
GGGUGCAUAGCGCAGUGGUUAGCGCGCAUGCUUUGCAAUGAUUACAUAAGCAUGUAAUCACUUGUGUAUGAGGUCCGGGGUUCGAUCCCCUGUGCAUCCA